rnacentral:tRNA from 1 species
GGGCGAAUGGCUCAGUGGUAGAGCAUCCGCUUUGCAUUCAGCAAGGUUGCGGAAGGUCCAGGUUUCGAUCACCUGUUCGUCCA